UGACUGCUGCGAGCUUGCCAGAAGGAGUGCUGAUUACCUGCUCACCAGGGAUGUAAUGUGCAUCAGCAUCUACCACUCAAUAUACAUUGCUGGGGAAGCCUGAGGCAAGAGCACUUUUGGAAAGAAGAAGCCAGGCCAGACUAUGCAGUCCUGCUUGCCUGAUGUGAGUAGGGCCUCUUUCUUUAUACCUUGGAGAAGAUUUGUGGGCCUGGGGUCCUGAGCUCCUCUCUCUGACCAUUUUAUGCCACCAUUUAACUAUGAUUAUUAAAUGCGAAUCCCCUCAUGACUUCACCCAAUGUAUAAAAUGGUCCAUGUGGUAGGCCUAACUGGGCUUCCAACAUACACUGCCUAAAUUUAUGUCCAUCUCCAUCCCUAGGGAGAAAAUCUGCCUUGAAUUAAAAAUGGUUCUGGAAUGAAGUUUAAAGAACAACUAGCCAUAGAAAAAGUGAAAAGCACAUCUCCUUCCAUUGGAACUUUAUAGGAGAUUUUUAACAAAAUCAUUGUCAUCCAAGCCGCAGUGUUCAUCAGGCUUCAGCUGCAAAAACCAGUCCUAAAAGAAAUACGUUAUCAUAAUUGAAUAAUCUUUAAUUACUGAUACCGAAAUGAAAAACAGCAAAACAAAACCCAAACCCAGCUCUCAAUUUAUGUUUAGUGAAGAUUACUUAAAGUUAAUAUCUUGUGGAAAUAGCUCAGUAAAUUUAAUUACUCAGCAGUGGUGUCCUAUAAAUCUGGAAGUCAAUACCUAAGUCAAUUAGCUGUUCUAGUCUAACUCACAUUAUCUUCACCUUCUAUGGCGGCUUCUGGGUAAGUGUCUUUAGUGACCCAAAGCUGUUUUGUCAUUGUGCUCAAGCACAUGGAGAUACUCCUGGGACUUUGAAAAGUAGUGACAGUCAUAGGGAGACAUUGCAUUCCUCCUAUGACCAUCCAUCACUAUAGGACAGAGGGUAAUGAAGCAAGGCACACCCGAGCCACCAGAGUCAUGGGACUGGAUGCAAAGUGGAAAUCAAUGAGGUGCAAACACUACGCCAUGAGGUCAAGGCAGCAUUCACUCACUGCUCCAAUUUUGUCUCUGCCCUUCAAGUCUGGAUACAAUUUUAAAAUGUGUUUUAAGCAAAGGAAUGAUUCAGUGGUGAGAAUCAGGCUGCAUCACUGGAACUGCACUUCAUGUUGACAUAAGAAAUUUGCAGAAUUUGGAAAAUGGAGCAGACUGCAUCCUAUGAAAAUCUUGCAAGGUUUGCAUUAUUGUUGAACUUUCACCUUUGCUUUAUUGAUUAGUUUUGUUUCUAAACUUUAUUUAUUUUAUUUUUAUUUACUUAUUUAUUUUGAGACAGAAUUUUGCUCUUGUUGCCCAGGAUGGAGUGCCAUGGUGUGAUCUCGGCUCACUGCAACCUCAGCCUCCCAGGUUCAAGCGAGUCUCCUGCCUCAGCCCCUCCCCCCGCCUCAGUAGCUGAGAUUACAGGCAUGCGCCACCACACCCGACUAAUUUCAUAUUUUUAGUAGAGAUGGGGUUUCUCCAUGUUGGUCAGGGUGGUCUUGAACUCCCGACCUCAGGUGAUCUGCCUGCCUCUGCUUCCCAAAGUGCUGGGAUUAUAGGCGUGAGCCACUAGGCCCAGCCCUAAACUUUAUUUUUAACGUAUUUGAAGUCGUCUUCUGGUUGAGGAUUAUUCCUAAAUUCUUAGUUGUUCCUUUAAUGUGUAUUUAUCUUUGAGCUUCUUAGUAAUACUGAGACCCAAAUAACAUUGCUUCUUAUGGUAGAUUUUUCUCCCAGAAUGAACCAGCUGCUGUUUCGACUCAGAGCAGUGCAGCAAAUAGGCAUGGCGUGUGAGGCAGGGAAACCCACAAAAGCUUUUGACAGAAAACUGACAUUUCUUUCUUUUGGAGAUGGAGUUUCCAUUAUGUUGCCUAGGCUGGUCUCCAACUUCUGACCACAAGCGAUCCUCCUGCCUCAGCCUUCCUUACCUGGCUGAAGAUGACAGAGAUAUUAAUAACUUUGUAAUAUAGCUUAAAUGGUUAAAAGAAUGGCCUCUGAGGUAGGAAAAAUUCUGCCACAUAUUAGUCAACUGACUUUGGACAGGCUAUUUAACAUCUCUAAAUCUAAGUAAAUUUACCUGGGGGUGGUAUGGGGAGAGAGAAAGAGUAAAGAUUUAAAUGAGAUAUUAGAUUUUAAUACUGACUGCUCUCAUUGUGUUCGAAGUUAUUACUGUUGAGUUUGUGAACUGAGAUUUAAAAGUAUGACAUUGAAUGGGAAAUGGUUACAUAUCCGACAUGUGUAGAUAGAUGCACAGGAUGGUUUGUAUUGAAGGCAGCUGUCUCCAUGACAACCACAUUGCCCUCUACUUAGCAGGUUCCCUGACACAUCACCUAAGGCACCAUUUUACUUGUAGCUCA
ensembl:lncRNA